GAUGAACGCUGGCGGCGUGCCUAAUACAUGCAAGUCGAGCGAACAGACGAGGAGCUUGCUCCUCUGACGUUAGCGGCGGACGGGUGAGUAACACGUGGAUAACCUACCUAUAAGACUGGGAUAACUUCGGGAAACCGGAGCUAAUACCGGAUAAUAUAUUGAACCGCAUGGUUCAAUAGUGAAAGACGGUUUUGCUGUCACUUAUAGAUGGAUCCGCGCCGCAUUAGCUAGUUGGUAAGGUAACGGCUUACCAAGGCAACGAUGCGUAGCCGACCUGAGAGGGUGGUGCGCCACACUGACACUGCACCAGGGUCCAGCCUCUUACGGGGGGCAGCAGUGGGGAAUCUUCCGCAAGGGGCGAAAGCCUGACGGAGCCCCGCCGGGUGAGUGAUAAAGGUCUACGCAUCUAAAAACUCUUUUAUUAGGGAAAAAAAAAUGUGUAAGUAACUAUGCACGUCUUGACGGUACCUAAUCAGAAACCCAGGGCUAACUACGUG
rnacentral:rRNA from 1 species